AGAAGAAAUCGAUUUAAUCACGUUCGCUGGAUACGACACAACUUCUGCAGCCAUGGUCUGGAUUCUUUACCUCAUUGCUAAACAUGCAGAGCAUCAGCAACUGAUAGUGGACGAGCUGGAUUUAGUUUCUGGCAGUGAUCGAGAUCGUCCUUGUAC